UACGUAGGGUGCGAGCGUUGUCCGGAAUUAUUGGGCGUAAAGAGCUCGUAGGCGGUUUGUCGCGUCGGCCGUGAAAUCUCCACGCUUAACGUGGAGCGUGCGGUCGAUACGGGCAGACUUGAGUUCGGUAGGGGAGACUGGAAUUCCUGGUGUAGCGGUGAAAUGCGCAGAUAUCAGGAGGAACACCGGUGGCGAAGGCGGGUCGCUGGGCCGAUACUGACGCUGAGGAGCGAAAGCGUGGGGAGCGAACAGG
rnacentral:rRNA from 1 species